UACGGAGGGGGCAAACGUUGUUCGGAAUCAUUGGGCGUAAAGCGCACGUAGGCGGCCUGUUAAGUCGGAUGUGAAAUCCCUCAGCUUAACUGAGGAAGUGCACUCGAAACUGGCAGUCUUGAGUAUGGAAGAGGGUCGCGGAAUUCCCGGUGUAGAGGUGAAAUUCGUAGAUAUCGGGAGGAACACCAGUGGCGAAGGCGGCGAUCUGGGAAGAUACUGACGCUGAGGUGCGAAAGCGUGGGGAGCAAACAGG
rnacentral:rRNA from 1 species